ACGUCACAGUGAUUGCCGUACUAACGUCGAGAUCGCUCCCUGGAGCCCGAAUAUGAGCUCAUGAUAGUGCCUAAAGCAGUCGCAGGAAGAGGCCCAGUACCCUCACCCUUUCCGCCGCAAUGGGAGUUUCAAGUUUAGGUAAAUAAUAGGGUUGUGAGGGAAAAACUACGAUUUCCAGCAUGCACUGCGGAUCGAAAGGCCUUGGCCACAGUGUUCCUUGGAAACUGUAGUCUUAUGGAGAGGAACCUCCGAUACGGGAGGCAGACACGAGUCUAACGACAAUUCAGUUGAUAAACUGAAGAGCUCCGCGCGCUUAUGCAUGCCAACAGAUAUGGAUUGGAGUGUUAUGUUUUCGUAUGUCGAGCGUGGAUAAUAGGCUAAAGAACCUACAAGUCCUAGUAAGACUACAGCCCCCAUCCAGCCCCGCGAGUCUCCAGCAAGUCGUCCUCUAAAGUCGGUGACCUAAAGAAAUGCAACUGGCGCGUUUUUUACCUAGGAAGGGGAAAUCAUCCGGGGCCCCGGCCCACGGCUGCGCACUCGCAGUUCCGCCCCUUUGCCCCGUGUUUGUUAUUGUUGUGAGGGUCAAGCUCCUCCUGCCCCGCCCCCGCCAACUUAUCUUCGACCAAUCAGUAGGGCUGUAGUUUUGAAGGACACUUGGUAAGAACCAAUCAUCUUGUCGAAAACUCAGAGAGCCUGGGGACUAGGCCCUGUCUCUGUCCGCCAUGUUAGAUUCACCCCGCAGGAGUAGCAGCAGAGCUGGCAGCGAACGGUUCUUGCAUUGGCCUCCGGCAGGCGCCCCCCGGGGGCGGGAAGCUGCCCCACAACAUGGAACCACAGGUUACACUAAAUGUGACUUUUAAAAAUGAAACUCAAAGCUUUCUAGUUUCUGACCCAGAAAAUACAACUUGGGCUGAUGUGGAAGCUAUGGUAAAAGUUUCAUUUGAUCUGAACACUAUUCAAAUAAAAUACUUGGAUGAGGAAAAUGAAGAGGUAUCCAUCAACAGUCAAGGAGAAUAUGAAGAAGCACUUAAGAUGGCAGUUAAGCAGGGAAACCAGUUGCAGAUGCAAGUCCAUGAAGGCUGUCGUGUUGUCGAAGAAGCCCCACCCCCUAAUGGAACAGAAAAACGACCAGUUGCUAGGACAGGAAAGAAGCCACUUGCACAUUAUUCUUCACUGGUGAGAGUCUUGGGGUCAGACAUGAAGACCCCAGAGGAUCCUGCAACACAGCAGCUUCCACCUGCUCCACGUAAUCCAGACCAGCCUCAAGACAAGCCCCCUGACUGGUUCACAAGCUACCUAGAGACAUUCAGAGAACAAGUGGUUAAAGAAACGGUUGAAAAGCUUGAACAGAAAUUACGCGAGAAGCUUGUCCUCCAGAAUCCAUCCUUAGGUUCAUGUCCCUCAGAAGUUUCAAUGCCUGUUUCAGAGGAGACUCUGUUUUUGCCAGAAAACCAGUUCAGCUGGCAUAUUGCUUGCAGCAGCUGCCAAAGGAGUAUCAUGGGUGUGCGCUACCAGUGCAGCCUCUGCCCAUCCUACAAUAUCUGCGAAGAUUGUGAAUCAGGGCCAUAUGCCCAUGACUCCAACCAUGUCCUGCUGAAGUUGCGGAGACCGGUUAUGGGUUCCUCUGAACCGUUUUCUCACUCGAGGUUGUCUACUCCUCGCCUUCCUGCUGCUUUGGAACAGGCCAGGCUCCAGAAGCAAGUUGAUAAGAACUUUCUUAAAGCAGAAAAGCAAAGAUUGCGGGCUGAGAAGAAACAGCGUAAAGCAGAGGUCAAGGAACUUAAGAAGCAGCUUAAACUCCACAGGAAGAUUCAUCUAUGGAAUUCACUUCAUGGGCUGCAGAGCCCCAAGUCUCCUUUGGGCCGACCCGAGAGCCUGCUGCAGUCAAACACCCCGAUGCUCCCUCUGCAACCCUGUGCCCCAGUUAUGCCGACACUCAGUGCCGCAUUUGUGGACGAGAAUUUGCCUGAUGGGACUCACCUCCAGCCAGGAACCAAGUUUAUCAAACACUGGAGGAUGAAAAAUACAGGAAAUGUCAAGUGGAGCACAGACACAAAGCUCAAGUUCAUGUGGGGAAACCUGACUUUGGCUUCUACUGAAAAGAAGGAUGUUUUGGUUCCCUGCCUAAAGGCUGGCCAUGUGGGAGUCGUGUCUGUGGAGUUCAUUGCCCCAACCUUGGAGGGAACAUACACUUCCCAUUGGCGUCUUUCUCACAAAGGCCAGCAGUUCGGGCCUCGGGUCUGGUGCAGCAUCAUAGUGGAUCCUUUCCCCUCCACAGAGAGCCUGGAUAACAAUGAAAAGAGCAUGAUCAGCUCAAGCAGAGGUGAUGAUCUCACCUGCCAGGAAGAGGAAGCUUUUCUGGCUAAAGAAGAAAUUCUGCCUGGUGAAACAACUGAGCAGACAGAAGGGACAGGAGCUCGCAUCCCACAGAAGGCAAAGCAUGCUGCCAGCAAGAGAGAGCUCUACAUCCCAUCUGUGGACCUUCUGACUGCCCAGGAUCUGCUGUCCUUUGAGCUGUUGGAUAUAAAUAUUGUCCAAGAGUUGGAGAGAGUGCCCCACAACACUCCUGUGGAUAUGACUCCCUGCAUGUCUCCUCUGCCACAUGACAGUCCUUUAAUAGAGAAGCCAGGCUUGGGGCAGAUACAGGAAGAGAGUGAAGGGGCGGGAUUUAAAGCACUUCCUGAUUCCACAGUGUCAGUAAAGAAGAAGGCCGAGAACAUUUCUUCCGUGGAGGAACCAGAAGAUGAUUUGAGUGGGACCCAGUUUGUGUGUGAGACUGUCAUCCGAUCCCUUACGUUGGAUGCUGCCCCGGAUCACAAACCACCUUGCAGACAGAAGUCCCUGCAGAGGGCAGAAUUACAGCUGCACACCACAGAGGAACAGCAGCCAACUGUGCUGCCUGGGUUCUGCAGUAAAGAGUCUUCUUUGAAAUUUGCCUCACCUGAAGAGGGACCACUUGCAGACGAGAGGGAGGAGAUUGUCCAGAUUGCUGAAGAAGAGGCUGUUGUGGAGGAAGAGGAUGAGCUCAAAGAUGAAGUUCGGAGUCAGUCCUCUGCUUCUUCAGAGGACUAUAUCAUCAUCCUGCCUGAGUGCUUUGACACCAGCCGCCCCCUGGGGGACUCCAUGUACAGCUCUGCGCUCUCACAGCCAGGCCUGGAGCGAGGGGCUGAAGGCGAGCCUGGGAUUGAGGCUGGGCAGGAACCAGUCGAAGCUGGGGAGAGACCCCCUGGAGGGGAGAGCCAGCCACAAGGGCACAGCAUCAGUGACAUCCUUAUGACCUCACAGACUCUGGACACAGUGCCCCUAACCCCAGAGGUGGUGGGGCCUCCGCCACAGCUGCCCAGGUACCAUCUGUACCCCACUCUGCUGGGCUGUCCUCCAGAGGAGUCCUCCCUGUGCACAGCAUCAUGGCUCCCCAGGAGUGGAUUUACCAGUUACCGUACCAGAAGUUUCUUCAGUCCCUGGUCAGAUCAGAGGAGAGCUCAGAGGCUCAUCAGGACUUGUAAACAGCAGACCGAAGAGCUAUGACCACUCAAGGCACCACCACCACCACCACGGGAACAGCAUUGCUGGAGGACUGGUGAAGGGGGCUUUGUCCGUUGCUGCCUCUGCAUACAAGGCCUUGUUUGCUGGACCACCAGUCACCGCACAGCCAGUAGUUUCUGAAGAUCAGACAGCAGCGCUGAUGGCCCAUCUCUUUGAAAUGGGAUUCUGUGACAGGCAGUUGAACCUAAGGCUGCUCAAGAAACACAAUUACAACAUCCUGCAAGUGGUGACAGAACUCCUUCAGGUCAACAACAACGAUUGGUAUAGCCACCGCUACUGAGGAGUGACCUCGUAUUAAAUAACUUUGCCUGCUGCUCAGAGAUGAUCUUUAUUCUGUUGGGGCAUGGGGUAGAGACCCUUGCUAAUUUUUUAAUCUGAUGAAUCUAUAAUAAGAGCCCACCAUUGAAUUAUCAAGACAGUACCUGCAUUGCAGUAUUUUUUGGAGCAAAUCAAAAACCAGAACUUAAAUUUUCACCGUAGACAUUAGGUGAAUUGUAGCAAGAGCAUUUUUCAAUUGAUUUGGAUAAAGCUCCUUUCUCUGUUUUAGUGCACUGAAGAGUAUAACUUAAACUUCCUAUAGAACCAUUUUUCUUUCUGCUUGUAUUGAAGUUGAGUAUUUUUCUUUGCUUAACAUGGAUGUUUUUAUGAGGAUAUCUGUUGUCAGUUUUUAAAAGGAAUUAACCUUGCAAGUUGUUUUCCAGAAUUAUUCUCAUAAUUUCUCUUAACCUAUCCCAAGCUUAAAUAGCUAUGUGGUAUUAAAAUGACACCUAGAAUGUGAUAGGAAUUUUGUUACUCUUCCCUUUUCAAGUAGAAAGUCACUUCUCUGCAAGUCUCGGUAAUCAGCACUGUUGUUUUCUAAAGACCCCACUGAUGCGUUGAAGUAUAUCCACCUUCCACGUCUCUGCACUUCUGAGUAAGGAGCGGGGAGUGUGCUAAAUAACCCACCAGCACCUGUUGAACAGUGUCUAUUGUAGCAAUUUUGCAUACAUUUGUAUUUUAUUUAAGGGAAAAAGUUUAGGUAGUGUGAAAUAUUUUGCUAAUCCUAUAAAGAAGAAAAAAACUUCUAUUAAAGGAAAAAGUAAAUUUAACAGUUAACUUUUUUCUUUAUGUCAGGGGGCAGGUCUUAUUUACAGUAGAGUGGGCAAGGGCUGUAUAGAAACAUGAGAAAACUGAACUUUAUUAUGUGAAUAUCAGUAAAAUUCAGGAGCGGGCAAAUAAGUGGGUGUGAGGCUUUGAAAUGGGAUUCAGGAAGUCCUGAAUGUCUCUUGAAUGUUUGAAAUCUGUUCAAGAGAACUUAGAACAAGAAAAAGAGGCUGAUAUUUUACAAAACUUGGAUGGGGAGCAAACUCACAGAAAAAAGUUUUGGUUAAUUUAACCCCAGGGUAAGUGAGUGGGAAAGAGCUUGCUUACAAAGGUCCAAAGUCCUCACUCCGUUUAUAGAAGGGAGUCUUGGGUACAGCUGGUAAAGAGGUAACAAAAAACACUAAAGAUUUUAGUCAUAAAAAUUGCUUGCAGAAAAGAAAUCUGACCCCCCAGCCCGAAGGGGGAGGGAUAAUAAAAUAGUAUUAUAUAACCUGGUUGGUAUUACAGUGAAUGAUGAUUUAAUCAUUAGCCAUAAUGAUGUUUAUUUACAGUAUAACCUUUCAAUGCUGUUAAAUAGGCCAGGAUUCAGACUGCAAGCCAACCAGGCUGUUCGUUAUUUAAAACGUUUUUAUGGGGCCGUCUGGGUAGAGGCUGAGCAGCCGGUUGUGUGUAAUUAAUUGAGUUGAUUUGGGACGGGAUCUGUCUUGACCAUCUGAGUCGUAUUGUAAGGGUCCAGUCGUCUGUCCCAUUGUACUUGUACGUAACCGCUUAAAGAAUGGUGAAAUAAACUUUGAAACUCUUA